AUUGAACGCUGGCGGCAGGCCUAACACAUGCAAGUCGAGCGGAUGAAGGGAGCUUGCUCCUGGAUUCAGCGGCGGACGGGUGAGUAAUGCCUAGGAAUCUGCCUGGUAGUGGGGGAUAACGUCCGGAACGGGCGCUAAUACCGCAUACGUCCUGAGGGAGAAAGUGGGGGAUCUUCGGACCUCACGCUAUCAGAUGAGCCUAGGUCGGAUUAGCUAGUUGGUGGGGUAAAGGCCUACCAAGGCGACGAUCCGUAACUGGUCUGAGAGGAUGAUCAGUCACACUGGAACUGAGACACGGUCAAGACUCCUACGGGAGGCAGCAGUGGGGAAUAUUGGAAAAUGGGCGAAAGCCUGAUCCAGCCAUGCCGCGUGUGUGAAGAAGGUCUUCGGAUUGUAAAGCACUUUAAGUUGGGAGGAAGGGCAGUAAGUUAAUACCUUGCUGUUUUGACGUUACCAACAGAAUAAGCACCGGCUAACUUCGUG
rnacentral:rRNA from 1 species